CUUGAUCUUUGCUUGGGCAUCAAGAACUAAUCUCAACCAUUGAUCUUGAUUUAAAUUUAAACCCUCUUUCUCUCUCUCCUCACUUUCUCUCUUAUUCUCUCUCUCUCCCUCUCUCACGGCCGAAUCACCCCACCACCGCCGUGCACCCACCAGCCCCUCACGCCACCAUCCUUGAGCCCCGUAGAUUGCCGUGUGCCGUUCACCGCCAUUUGCCGCUUGCCGUGUCAAGCCGAGGCCACCACGGACAACUCGUGUCGUUGCCGUCGUCCUCGCGUUGUCGUCGUUUUUAGACGAAUCGCUUGAUGAUGCCUGAUUUAUCGGAUGCCUGGAGAUUAUAUGGAUUGUCGAUACUCCGGAUGCCUUGUCGCGGCCCGAGGCCGGACUCGAUGCUCCUUACGGGAUACCAUCUUACUGUAGAUCGUUUGAUGUUGCCGUAUUGGAAUGCCGUCUUACUGUAGAUCGUUUGACAUAGCCGUGCCCGAUGGGGCAGGACGGAGCCCGGUUAUGCCGGAAGACUGCCAUCUUGCUGCAGAUCGCUUGAUGUGUAGUGGCCCGAGGGGGCAUAAUAACUGGAAUACGUGUGAUGCAUAGUGCUUGAUUAUAGGGUAGAAACUACUAGGCAUGGUAUGGGACGUGUCCAAGUGGAUUCUGUCUUAUAAUCGAGACACGCGCGCCUGUGAUGCAUUGAUGCAUGGGAAAUCUAUUUAAAUGCUUUGAGUAUGUGACAUGUUCAUUUCAUCAACGAGUGUACCAAGGCGAGGUAAGGAUGCCUGUGGUUGUUUAAUAAUGUUGCUGUUGAUGCUGUAUUGCCUGGUUAGGGACCCCCGAGGUGAGUUGACCUUCUAAACGGGGCUUAGGCGUUAACUUAUUGAGAUUUUUAUCUCAUUUGUGGUUGUUAAACAUUUUUCAGGCCCUUAGCAUGUUGGUGCACCCAGUACGGUUCGGGGUGCCUGGAAGCUGACUUUUGGUGAAGUAGAUUGACCCCAGCCUGACAUCUUUUUGUAGACUUUUUUGGAAAUGCCUGAAGUGGGCUUGUAAAAAUGUUCCCAGGGGUUAAUCAAGUAAAUGUUAAAAUGGUGUUUUGAUUUC